ACUAUUUUGUCAUGCGAUAUGAACUACUAAGUUGAAGAUCAAGGUGGAAUUCGCUGAUAUUAUUCUGGUGAUAUAUUAUAUUCGGAAGGAUAUCCUUAUUUAAACCAGAGGUUAUGGCUGAAAUGCCCCAGCUUUUGAAUGGUUAUCACGACAACCACCACCGUUGCCAGCUUUUCAUAAAUCCAAAUCAUGAAAAUCCUCCUCAGACCUUCCGGCUUCGAACUGUAAAGACGCCCUGGUCAAUAGAGAAUCGGUUCCUUGAACACCUUGAGGCUUAUGGACUCCUACAUUUUGCGAACAUCGCAGCUCGUCGAGGUAGUUUUACUGCCGACCCAUCCCUUUUGACAUCCCUCGUUGAUAGAUGGAGACCGGAGACCCACACAUUUCACUUUCGAUGUGGAGAGCUUGCACCUACUCUAAAAGAUGUGUCAAUGAUCACAGCUUUACCAAUUAGAGGUGUGCCAGUGGUACAUCCACGAGUUUCUCCUAAUUGGCCAGCAGAUGUCUCUGCCCGUCUGAGGCUCGAAAUGCCCAUAUCAGAUCGUUCUGGUCCGCCUCGAGGUGUCCCACA